AGCAGUCGCCACGGGAAUACGAAGGGGGCUAGCGUUGUUCGGAAUUACUGGACGUAAAGCGCACGUAGGCGGACAUUUAAGUAAGGGGUGAAAUCCCGGGGCUCAACCCAGGAACUGCCUUUGAUACUGGGUGUCUAGAGUAUGGAAGAGGUGAGUGGAAUUCCGAGUGUAGAGGUGAAAUUCGUAGAUAUUCGGAGGAACACCAGUGGCGAAGGCGGCUCACUGGUCCAUUACUGACGCUGAGGUGCGAAAGCGUGGGGAGCAAACAGGAUUAGAUACCCGAGUAGUCCCUGUCUCUUAUAC
rnacentral:rRNA from 1 species